rnacentral:rRNA from 1 species
GACGAACGCUGGCGGCGUGCCUAAUACAUGCAAGUAGAACGCAGUUGCGAACGGGUGAGUAACGCAUAGGGAACCUGCCUCAUAGCGGGGGGUAACUAUUGGAAACGAUAGCUAAUACCGCAUACUGUGAGAGGGACCUGCGUUGUAUUAGCUAGUUGGUGAGGUAAAGGCUAACCAAGGCGACUAUCCAUAGCCGAUCUGAGAGGAUGAUCGGCCACACGGGGACUGAGACACGGCCCAGACUCCUACGGGAGGCAGCAGUAGGGAAUAUUGGACAAUGGGCGCAAGCCUGAUGCAGCCAUGCCGCGUGUAUGAUGAAGGCCUUCGGGUUGUAAAGUACUUUCAGCGGGGAUGCGUUAUCCGCAGAAGAAGCACCGGCUAACUCCGUGCCAGCAGCCGCGGUAAUUC